rnacentral:rRNA from 1 species
GACGGUAGACACAGGGAUUGCCCUAGUAACGGCGAGUGAAGCGGCAACAGCUCAAAUUUGAAAUCUGGCUCUUUCAGAGUCCGAGUUGUAAUUUGCAGAGGGCGCUUUGGCGUUGGCAGCGGUCCAAGUUCUUUGGAACAGGACGUCACAGAGGGUGAGAAUCCCGUACGUGGUCGCUAGCCUUCGCCGUGUAAAGCCCCUUCGACGAGUCGAGUUGUUUGGGAAUGCAGCUCUAAAUGGGAGGUAAAUUUCUUCUAAAGCUAAAUAUUGGCCAGAGACCGAUAGCGCACAAGUAGAGUGAUCGAAAGAUGAAAAGCACUUUGGAAAGAGAGUCAAAUAGCACGUGAAAUUGUUGAAAGGGAAGCGCUUGCAGCCAGACUUGCCUGUAGUUGCUUAUCCGGACUUUUGUCCGGUGCACUCUUCUGCGGGCAGGCCAGCAUCAGUUUGGGCGGUUGGAUAAAGGUCUCUGUCAUGUACCUCCUUUCGGGGAGGCCUUAUAGGGGAGACGACAUGCAACCAGCCUGGACUGAGGUCCGCGCAUCUGCUAGGAUGCUGGCGUAAUGGCUGUAAGCGGCCCGUCUUGAAACACGGACCAAGGAGUCUAACAUCUAUGCGAGUGUUUGGGUGUCAAGCCCAGACGCGUAAUGAAAGUGAACGGAGGUGGGAACCUUUUAGGUGCACCAUCGACCGAUCCUGAUGUCUUCGGAAGGAUUUGAGUAAGAGCAUGGCUGUUGGGACCCGAAAGAUGGUGAACUAUGCUUGAAUAGGGUGAAGCCAGAGGAAACUCUGGUGGAGGCUCGCAGCGGUUCUGACGUGCAAAUCGAUCGUCAAAUUUGGGCAUAGGGGCGAAAGACUAAUCGAACUAUCUAGUAGCUGGUUCCUGCCGAAGUUUCCCUCAGGAUAGCAGUAACGUAUUCAGUUUUAUGAGGUAAAGCGAAUGAUUAGAGGCCUGGGGGUUGAAACAACCUUCACCUAUUCUCAAACUUUAAAUAUGUAAGAAGUCCUUGUUACUUGAUUGAACGUGGACACUUGAAUGUACCGUUACUAGUGGGCCAUUUUUGGUAAGCAGAACUGGCGAUGCGGGAUGAACCGAACGCGGGGUUAAGGUGCCAGAAUAUACGCUCAUCAGACACCACAAAAGGUGUUAGUUCAUCUAGACAGCAGGACGGUGGCCAUGGAAGUCGGAAUCCGCUAAGGAGUGUGUAACAACUCACCUGCCGAAUGAACUAGCCCUGAAAAUGGAUGGCGCUCAAGCGUAUUACCCAUACCCCGCCGCCGGGGCAGAAUUUAUGCCCCGGCGAGUAGGCAGGCGUGGAGGCUCGUGACGAAGCCUGGGGUAACCCC